rnacentral:rRNA from 1 species
AGUGAACGCUGGCGGUAGGCCUAACACAUGCAAGUCGAACGGCAGCACAGUAAGAGCUUGCUCUUACGGGUGGCGAGUGGCGGACGGGUGAGGAAUACAUCGGAAUCUACUUUUUCGUGGGGGAUAACGUAGGGAAACUUACGCUAAUACCGCAUACGACCUACGGGUGAAAGCAGGGGAUCUUCGGACCUUGCGCGAUUGAAUGAGCCGAUGUCGGAUUAGCUAGUUGGCGGGGUAAAGGCCCACCAAGGCGACGAUCCGUAGCUGGUCUGAGAGGAUGAUCAGCCACACUGGAACGGAGACACGGUCCAGACUCCUACGGGAGGCAGCAGUGGGGAAUAUUGGACAAUGGGCGCAAGCCUGAUCCAGCCAUACCGCGUGGGUGAAGAAGGCCUUCGGGUUGUAAAGCCCUUUUGUCGGGAAAGAAAAGCAGCAGGUUAAUACCCCGCUGUUCUGACGGUACCCAAAGAAUAAGCACCGGCUAACUUCGUG